rnacentral:piRNA from 1 species
UGCACCCCACAUGGUAUAAGGAGCUGGGUCU